CACGUAGGGCGCAAGCGUUGUCCGGAAUUAUUGGGCGUAAAGAGCUCGUAGGCGGUCUGUUGCGUCCGCUGUGAAAACCCGCAGCUCAACUGUGGGCUUGCAGCUGAUACGGGCAGGCUUGAGUUCGGUAGGGGGGUCUGGAACUUCCGGUGGAGCGGUGAAAUGCGUUGAGAUCGGAAGGAACGCCCGUGGCGAAAGCGAGGCCCUGGACCCUUUCUGACGCUGAGACGCGAAAGCCAGGGGAGCGAACGGG
rnacentral:rRNA from 1 species